rnacentral:rRNA from 1 species
ACAAGAAAUAAUCUGUCUCAGGUUAAUAUAUUGAAUUUAACUUUUGAGUGAAAAGGCUUAAAUAAUCUGAAGGGACGAUAAGACCCUAUAAAACUUUAUAUUGAAAAGUGGUAGGUAUGCUUUGUUUAAAGAUUAUUACUUUAAAGUAUUUGGUUGGGGUGACAGAAAUAGAAUGGAAAGUAACUGUUUUUUUUUUUUACAGUGAUGUUUGAGUUAAUGAUCCUAAAAUGGAUUAAAAGAUUAAGUUACUUUAGGGAUAACAGCGUAAUUUUCUUUAAGAGUUCUUAUCGAUAAGAAAGUUUGCGACCUCGAUGUUGAAUUAAAGGUUCUUUAUGGAGUAGAGACUAUAAAAGAAGGUCUGUUCGACCUUUAAAACUU